UUUCCGUAGGUGAACCUGCGGAAGGAUCAUUAUAGUAUAACCGAGGUGCGAGGGCUGUCGCUGACCCGAAAGGUCGUGCACGCCCGAGUGCCCUCACACACAUCCAUCUCACCCCUAUGUGCACCACCGCGUGGGUCCCCCUUUGGCUUGUUCGGAGGGGGGCUUACGUUUUCACACAAACUUUGUAUGCAGUGUAGAAUGUAUUUUUGUUUUUGCGAUCACGCAAUCAAUACAACUUUCAACAACGGAUCUCUUGGCUCUCGCAUGAUGAAGAACGCAGC
rnacentral:misc_RNA from 1 species